AUUGAACGCUGGCGGAAUGCUUUACACAUGCAAGUCGAACGGCAGCACGGGGGCAACCCUGGUGGCGAGUGGCGAACGGGUGAGUAAUACAUCGGAACGUGCCCAGUCGUGGGGGAUAACGUAGCGAAAGUUACGCUAAUACCGCAUACGAUCUACGGAUGAAAGCGGGGGACCGUAAGGCCUCGCGCGAUUGGAGCGGCCGAUGUCAGAUUAGGUAGUUGGUGAGGUAAAGGCUCACCAAGCCGACGAUCUGUAGCUGGUCUGAGAGGAGGACCAGCCACACUGGGACUUAAACACGGCCCAGACUCCUACGGGAUGCAGCAGUGGGGAAUUUUGGACAAUGGGCGCAAGCCUGAUCCAGCCAUGCCGCGUGCAGGACGAAGGCCUUCGGGUUGUAAACUGCUUUUGUACGGAACGAAAAGGCUCUGGUUAAUACCUGGGGCUCAUGACGGUACCGUAAGAAUAAGCACCGGCUAACUACGUGCCAGCCGCCGCCGUAA
rnacentral:rRNA from 1 species